rnacentral:lncRNA from 10 species
GGACCAGGAAGCAUCUUUUCCUGCUCUGAAGUCACAGAUGGACAUGCUGUCAGCCGCAUUCUUUCAAGGGUCAUAAAAGGGUCUCUAUGUUGAUCUUUCUCUUUUCUUUCCUAUCUAGGCACAGCUGGAGUGCCCUCUGUGACAACAGUUGCCCCUGGAACCUCUAACUCAGAGGCCAUGACUGCUUUAAGAGAAAGUGGAAAAACAAGGGCUGAAAUAACCACAGGUACUACUGAGGGCAAAACUCUGGCAGCUGAAAGUACCCAUACAGGUCAGGAAUUCUGAACAUGGCACCCUGGGCAAUACAGCUUAUGGGGCCCCAGAAUGUCCUGUGCAGUCUUCAUACAUCCAAUUCCUUUCUUUCUCAGAGGCCACAACUUUCUUAGGAGGCAGCGGAACCACCCGAGCAGGACCAUCAGGAGGUGAGCUUGUUAGGCUGAGGCCUGAGGCUCUCAUCAUCUCUCUCUCUGGGUGGAUACAGGGAACAAAUAAUGUGAAGGCUUUUGAGGGAGGGGGAUUUUCUCUGGGGCCAUAUUGUGUCCUAUAUGUGGUCGGUUAUUCUGCUUGUGAUUCCAUGAUCUCAGAUGGCUCAGCCAGGCUGUCUUCAGUAUCUUGACUUAUGGAGACAUUUUUUUCUGAUAUGAAGAGGCUUGGGAGUCUAUUACACUUAUCCCAUCCUUCCAGGAUGUCCAGCUGUCCUUUACCCAAUUUACCUUUCCACCCACAGCUGGACACUUUCU